GAGUUUGAUCAUGGCUCACAUUGAACGCUGGCGGCAUGCCUUACACAUGCAGGUCGAACGGCAGCAUGAUCUAGCUUGCUAGAUUGAUGGCGAGUGGCGAACGGGUGAGUAAUACAUCGGAACGUGCCCUGUAGUGGGGGAUAACUAGUCGAAAGAUUAGCUAAUACCGCAUACGACCUGAGGGUGAAAGUGGGGGACCGCAAGGCCUCAUGCUAUAGGAGCGGCCGAUGUCUGAUUAGCUAGUUGGUGGGGUAAAGGCCCACCAAGGCGACGAUCAGUAGCUGGUCUGAGAGGACGAUCAGCCACACUGGGACUGAGACACGGCCCAGACUCCUACGGGAGGCAGCAGUGGGGAAUUUUGGACAAUGGGCGAAAGCCUGAUCCAGCAAUGCGCGUGUGUGAAGAA
rnacentral:rRNA from 1 species